rnacentral:rRNA from 1 species
CGAAAGCCUGACGGAGCAACGCCGCGUGAGGGAGGAAGGUCUUUGGAUUGUAAACCUCUUUUCUCAAGGAAGAAGUUCUGACGGUACUUGAGGAAUCAGCCUCGGCUAACUCCGUGCCAGCAGCCGCGGUAAUACGGGGGAGGCAAACGUUAUCCGGAAUUAUUGGGCGUAAAGCGUCCGCAGGUGGUCAGCCAAGUCUGCCGUCAAAUCAGGUUGCUUAACGACCUAAAGGCGGUGGAAACUGGCAGACUAGAGAGCAGUAGGGGUAGCAGGAAUUCCCAGUGUAGCGGUGAAAUGCGUAGAGAUUGGGAAGAACAUCGGUGGCGAAAGCGUGCUACUGGGCUGUAUCUGACACUCAGGGACGAAAGCUAGGGGAGCG